rnacentral:lncRNA from 1 species
AUGUCGCAAAAAAGGACUUACCCUUCAGGGGCAGAAAAAAGAAAAAGGAAGAAAUAUAAAAACGACAAGAUAAAGGUCCAUCUCUAUCCUCUGUGCCCACUGUCCCUUUUGUGUCUUCUGCAACCUCAGCUGUACCUGGUCCUUCAUCUUUGGUCAUUGAGAUUGAUUUGUCCUCAUCAGCGUCCAGUUUGGAGCAGGGAUCAGCAGCUCCGCCAGUUGACCCCACUGAAUGUCCCUCUUUCCUGUCAGACUCAGAAAGGACUGAACAGGAGCAAUUCUGAAGUAUUUUGGAGCCGCAGAACAGGAAGCAGCACUGCCGCCUUCAGCACCAGAGAUUGUCAAGGAGCUCUCAUAUGCUGGCAAGGAAGCAGACAUUUUCAGGAGGGGCUUAGGGUAGAUCUGCUUAAAACACAAGACUCAGAUGAUACUGAUAAUCAUCACAAAGUGGUGUGAUUGUGUUAUAUAGUUCUGUAUGGUUCCUUUAAAGUAUUGUUUUCAUUGUUGCAUUUUUAUUGUAUGCUGGUUUAUUGUGUUGGUCCUGAAGGGCUUGUGUUACAUUUGAAAGGUUCCUUACUACCAGCAUUAUUCUUGUUAGUUUUUUUGUUUUUAUUGUUUGCAUAUUGAUAUGGAUGCUGGCUCAUUGUGAUUUUCUUUUUAAAAUAGUAAUAGCCUAUUUUAUUUUCUAUACAACUUAAACUUUAGUUUUGGGUGUAUGUAUAUUUUAUGUUUAAUGUCAACUUAAAAUAAAUAAAAUUGAGGAACACUCCAUCAGUUUCAUUUAUUGACCUAUCAAGGAUCCCUAUUGUUUACCUUGUAUUAUCAUUUUCUAUCAGUUCAACUUACUAGUGUGGGUCAACUUAAG